rnacentral:rRNA from 1 species
CAUAACUAGUAUUGGAGGCACUGCCUGCCCAGUGACGACCGUUAAACGGCCGCGGUAUCCUGACCGUGCAAAGGUAGCAUAAUCACUUGUUCUCUAAAUAGGGACUUGUAUGAAUGGCCACACGAGGGUUUUACUGUCUCUUACUUCCAAUCAGUGAAAUUGACCUUCCCGUGAAGAGGCGGGAAUAUAUUAAUAAGACGAGAAGACCCUAUGGAGCUUUAACUACUUAGCCCAAAGAAAUAAAUUUCAUUACUAAGGAAACAACAACACUCUUUAUGGGCUAACAGCUUUGGUUGGGGUGACCUCGGAGAACAAGAAAUCCUCCGAGCGAUUUUAAAGACUAGACCUACAAGUCGAAUCACACAAUCGUUUAUUGAUCCAAAAAAUUGAUCAACGGAACAAGUUACCCUAGGGAUAACAGCGCAAUCCUAUUCAAGAGUCCAUAUCGACAAUAGGGUUUACGACCUCGAUGUUGGAUCAGGACAUCCCGAUGGUGCAACCGCUAUCAAAGGUUCGUUUGUUCAACGAUUAAAGUCCUACGUGAUCUGAGUUC